rnacentral:misc_RNA from 1 species
AUUUGAAGAAGAAUCGGUUGCUAUUUCUUGCAGGUCUAGUGAUUACGUAGAAUGUACAUAGACCAUAUAAGAUGUGUUCCCUCAUUGGAGAUCUCAAAUGACACUAUGGCCUGUUCCUUUCAUCACUGUGGUAUUUUCUAAUGACAGGUUUCUGACAAAUAAAAGGUAAUUUGUUACCUUACCGUUCCUGCCUUCAAAACACUGCCAUGGGAAGUUGUUACAGCCAUCACAAUCCCUCCCUGAAAGUUAGCCAACUUAGCAAUCGGGAUUCGUUUGAACAUUUGUUCAAAACAAACAGUGGAGAGCUGGUGUGGUCCUGCUCUUAUACCAAAUGGCUACAGGGUGUUAAAAAUGUUAGUGGCUUCACUGACAAGACUAACUUCAGCAGUUCCAGAGAUCCACAUCGACGGAAUGGUAUUCUUGUUAAACCUGAUAACACAGAUGGUCAGCAUUUCAGUGUGAAGUUACCUUCAAUGUUUGAAGCUGUAGUCUCCAACAAAACUGCCUCUUGUACAAACUCUGUAGUUAUCAAUGGGCUAAAUCCAUUUACCACUGCUACAACCACUAUGCCAGUCCGCUGCUGGGAUUCUUUGCCUGUCAUGUUCAAAGAGGCUUGUAUUAUUAGUUACCAUGACAACUUAGCUGUACUUCAACUGAACCCAUCCCGAGAAGAUCUCAUGGCUGUAUUCUAUGUAUUGGAUUUAACCCAUCAGUUGGCGCUAGCUGAUUUCAGCAUUGCUUACUAUCUUCGGCGCUGGUAUGAAUGCUACAUAUCGCCAAAAAAGAAAAGGAUUCUGUUGCGACCAGACCAUACCACUCGUGUUCUUGUAAUGCCAGACAAUUAUUUUCUACGCAAAAUGAGAGUUCACCCUUCAAAUGACGUUACUAUAAGUACUGUGUCACCAUCACUUCGUGCCAAGGUACUUACUUUUAAUGCCCAGGCUGGGGACAAUUGCAUUGUUGUGAGCUGGUGCCGGUGUAUCCAGGUACAACAUAUUGAAUCUGGAGAAAUUGUAAAAUCUGUCGAGGGACUUUUAUUACGAGCAGGUAUUCAACAAAUUCGCUCCAGUCAGUCAGGAGAUUUCCUUGCAGUACGCUGUGUCCAUCCUGUCCAUACAAAAGAAUACAAAGUAAAUGUUGUUGGAGUAAUAGACUAUCACAAGCUCGAAUUGCUGAUGACUAUCGAUGUAAAAGGUUGUUACUGGCCAUUUUCAGAUGUAGUUAACCUACAAGUAUUUCCCCGUUUCUCACCCAGUGAAGCUUGCAUUGCUGUUAUGAAAAACUUACCUUACAAACGGCAGGUCUUCACAUAUAAACUGCCUAUCGUUCACCUCAACUUACAAUAUUUAUGUCGCCGAAGGAUUCUCCAUUUAGUUUCAUUAAAGGAUGUCAAACAUUUACCUCUCCCAAGUCGGCUUAUUGAAUACCUAACUUCUUAUAUUGAUGUGUGAGGAAGAUUUUUACCAAACAAGGUUUCUGUUCACAUUAUUCACAGCUGCUAACAUAGUUUUUGGUAUACACUUUCAAGAACGCUGAAUUCAGGAGUGUUUUGAUUCCUCUUGGAACAUUGCACAUCUGCAAGCUCAAGAAAUCCAUGAACACAAUUCGUUUUUCUGCAUUACAGCAAAAAUCUAUAACUCCUUAACAAUUUAGUUAUCACGAAAAUUCUUUUAAAAAAAAAAAAGCAAAAGAACAAAAAUUGGAAUUUAAAAAAAAAAAGAA